UGGGAAUUUUGGACAAUGGGCGAAAGCCUGAUCCAGCAAUGCCGCGUGUGUGAAGAAGGCCUUCGGGUUGUAAAGCACUUUUGUCCGGAAAGAAAUCCUUGGCUCUAAUACAGUCGGGGGAUGACGGUACCGGAAGAAUAAGCACCGGCUAACUACGUGCCAGCAGCCGCGGUAAUACGUAGGGUGCAAGCGUUAAUCGGAAUUACUGGGCGUAAAGCGUGCGCAGGCGGUUUGCUAAGACCGAUGUGAAAUCCCCGGGCUCAACCUGGGAACUGCAUUGGUGACUGGCAGGCUAGAGUAUGGCAGAGGGGGGUAGAAUUCCACGUGUAGCAGUGAAAUGCGUAGAGAUGUGGAGGAAUACCGAUGGCGAAGGCAGCCCCCUGGGCAAUACUGACGCUCAUGCACGAAAGCGUGGGGAGCAAACAGGAUUAGUACCCUGGUAGUCCCACGCCCUAAACCGAUGUCAACUAGUUGUUGGGGAUUCAUUUCCUUAGUAACGUAGCUAACGCGUGAAGUUGACCGCCUGGGGAGUACGGUCGCAAGAUU
rnacentral:rRNA from 1 species